UGCUGGUGGAUUAGUGGCGAACGGGUGAGUAACACGUGAGUAACCUGCCCUUGACUCUGGGAUAAGCCUGGGAAACUGGGUCUAAUACCGGAUAUGACCUUCCAUCGCAUGGUGGUUGGUGGAAAGCUUUUGUGGUUUUGGAUGGACUCGCGGCCUAUCAGCUUGUUGGUGGGGUAAUGGCCUACCAAGGCGACGACGGGUAGCCGGCCUGAGAGGGUGACCGGCCACACUGGGACUGAGACACGGCCCAGACUCCUACGGGAGGCAGCAGUGGGGAAUAUUGCACAAUGGGCGCAAGCCUGAUGCAGCGACGCCGCGUGAGGGAUGACGGCCUUCGGGUUGUAAACCUCUUUCAGUAGGGAAGAAGCCGCAAGGUGACGGUACCUGCAGAAGAAGCGCCGGCUAACUACGUGCCAGCAGCCGCGGUAAUACGUAGGGCGCAAGCGUUAUCCGGAAUUAUUGGGCGUAAAGAGCUCGUAGGCGGUUUGUCGCGUCUGCCGUGAAAGUCCGGGGCUCAACUCCGGAUCUGCGGUGGGUACGGGCAGACUAGAGUGAUGUAGGGGAGACUGGAAUUCCUGGUGUAGCGGUGAAAUGCGCAGAUAUCAGGAGGAACACCGAUGGCGAAGGCAGGUCUCUGGGCAUUAACUGACGCUGAGGAGCGAAAGCAUGGGGAGCGAACAGGAUUAGAUACCCUGGUAGUCCAUGCCGUAAACGUUGGGCACUAGGUGUGGGGGACAUUCCACGUUUUCCGCGCCGUAGCUAACGCAUUAAGUGCCCCGCCUGGGGAGUACGGCCGCAAGGCUAAAACUCAAAGGAAUUGACGGGGGCCCGCACAAGCGGCGGAGCAUGCGGAUUAAUUCGAUGCAACGCGAAGAACCUUACCAAGGCUUGACAUGAACCGGACCGCUGCAGAAAUGUGGUUUCCCCUUUGGGGCUGGUUUACAGGUGGUGCAUGGUUGUCGUCAGCUCGUGUCGUGAGAUGUUGGGUUAAGUCCCGCAACGAGCGCAACCCUCGUUCUAUGUUGCCAGCACGUGAUGGUGGGGACUCAUAGGAGACUGCCGGGGUCAACUCGGAGGAAGGUGGGGACGACGUCAAAUCAUCAUGCCCCUUAUGUCUUGGGCUUCACGCAUGCUACAAUGGCCGGUACAAAGGGUUGCGAUACUGUGAGGUGGAGCUAAUCCCAAAAAGCCGGUCUCAGUUCGGAUUGGGGUCUGCAACUCGACCCCAUGAAGUCGGAGUCGCUAGUAAUCGCAGAUCAGCAACGCUGCGGUGAAUACGUUCCCGGGCCUUGUACACACCGCCCGUCAAGUCACGAAAGUUGGU
rnacentral:rRNA from 1 species